rnacentral:rRNA from 1 species
UACGUAGGGCGCAAGCGUUGUCCGGAAUUAUUGGGCGUAAAGAGCUCGUAGGUGGCGUGUCGCGUCUGCCGUGAAAGCCCAUGGUUUAACUGUGGGUCUGCGGUGGAUACGGGCAGGCUAGAGGCUGGUAGGGGCAAGCGGAAUUCCUGGUGUAGCGGUGAAAUGCGCAGAUAUCAGGAGGAACACCGGUGGCGAAGGCGGCUUGCUGGGCCAGUUCUGACGCUGAGGAGCGAAAGCGUGGGGAGCGAACGGG